rnacentral:tRNA from 1 species
GUGGUAAUAGCUCAGUGGUAGAGUGCAUGCUUAGCAUGCACGAGGUCCUGGGUUCAAUUCUCAGCACC